AGUCCUCAGCCCGGUGCCUGGCACGUAGUAGGUGCUCAGUAUGUGGGGACUAGUACUGUUACCUGAUGACACCCCCAGCCCGGUGCCUGGCACGUAGUAGGUGCUCAGUAUGUGGGGAUUAGCACUGUUACCUGAUGAAGCCCCCAGCCCGGUGCCUGGCACGUAGUAGGUGUUUAGUAUGUGGGGGCUAGUACUGUUAUCUGAUGAUGCCCCCAGCCCGGUGCCUGGCACGUAGUAGGUGCUCAGUAUGUGGGGAUUAGCACUGUUACCUGAUGAAGCCCCCAGCCCGGUGCCUGGCACGUAGUAGGUGUUUAGUAUGUGGGGGCUAGUACUGUUAUCUGAUGAAGCCCCCAGCCCGGUGCCUGGCGCAUAGUAGGUACUCAUUUUGUGGGGACUAGUACUGUUAUAAAGUCCCCAGCCCGGUGCCUGGCACGUGGUAGGUAUUCAUUAUGUGGGGACUAGUACUGUUACCCGAUAAAGCCCCCAGCCCGGUGCCUGGCACGUAGUAGGUGCUUAGUAUGUGGGGACUAGUACUGUUAUCUGAUGACGCCCCCAGCCUGGUGCCUGGCACAUAGUAGGUGCUUAGUAUGUGGGGACUAGUACUGUUCUGAUGAAGCCCCAGCCCAGUGCCUGGCACGUAGUAGGUGUUUAGUAUGUGGGGACUAGUACUGUUAUCUGAUAAAGCCCCCAGCCUGCUGCCUGGCACGUAGUAGGUGCUCAGUAUGUGGGGACUAGUACUGUUAUCUGAUGACGCCCCCAGCCCGGUGCCUGGCACGUAGUCUGUGCUUAGUAUGUGGGGACUAGUACUGUUAUCUGAUGACACCCCCAGCCCGGUGCCUGGCACACAGUAGGUGCUCGUUAUGUGGGGACUAGUACUGUUACCUGAUGAAGCCCCCAGCCUGGUGCCUGGCACGUAGUAGGUGCUCAUUAUGUGGGGACUAGUACUGUUAUCUGAUGAAGCCCCCAGCCCGGUGCCUGGCGCAUAGUAGGUACUCAUUUUGUGGGGACUAGUACUGUUAUAAAGUCCCCAGCCCGGUGCCUGGCACGUGGUAGGUAUUCAUUAUGUGGGGACUAGUACUGUUACCCGAUAAAGCCCCCAGCCCGGUGCCUGGCACGUAGUAGGUGCUUAGUAUGUGGGGACUAGUACUGUUAUCCGAUGAAGCCCCCAGCCCGGUGCCUGGCACAUAGUAGGUGCUCAUUAUGUGGGGACUAGUACUGUUAUCCGAUGAAGCCUCCAGCCCGGUGCCAGGCACGUAGUAGGUGCUCAGUAUGUGGGGACUAGUACUGUUACCUGAUGAAGCCCCCAGCCUGGUGCCUGGCACGUAGUAGGUGCCACAUAAUGGUCUGUUUUUAUGUUUAGAGGGUGGUUAGGAUCCCCAGCCCAUAGUAGGUGCCCAGCAAAUAAGAUCUGCCGUUGAUCUGUGAAGGACUUCGUGUGGUGCCAGGUACACAGUAGGGGCUGCACGCAGAAGAGCUGUCAUCUGUCACGACCUUGGCAUGCAGUAGUUGCCUAAUUUGGGCUGUGCUCCCUGUGAGGCCCUGAGCCUGGUGGCAGCACAAGAGGUGUCCAGUUAGCAGGCACUCGUGCUAUUACUCUCGAGAGCCCUCGGCAUGCUCACUGGCACAUAGUAGGUGCUCGAGACGUGGGCGCUGUUUUGUCUUCAGUGAGGCGGA